UUCCUUCAACUCUUCUUUGUCCUCCUAGCAUGUAGAAUAUUCUUAUACCAGUCACUCAUAUCUUUACUUACAGCCUGAUUGGCAUGUGACCAGAGUAGACAGUAUCUAAGAUUCCAAAAUAGCAUUUUCUUUACCAGUAUCCUUAAUCAAGUAGGCAAGAGUUCUAAGGAAUCUUUUGUUCUUAAUUCUGAGUUGCUCUUGGAUCUCUACAGUGCCGCGUAUGAUGCUGUCCUUGACAGAAAUGUGGCCAUUAAGAAGCUCAGCAGACCCUUUCAGAACCAAACACAUGCCAAGAGAGCGUACCGGGAGCUGGUCCUCAUGAAGUGUGUGAACCAUAAAAACAUUAUUAGUUUAUUAAAUGUCUUCACACCCCAGAAAACGCUGGAGGAGUUCCAAGAUGUUUACUUAGUAAUGGAACUGA
rnacentral:sRNA from 1 species